rnacentral:rRNA from 1 species
CAAUAGCGUAUAUUAAAGUUGUUGCAGUUAAAAAGCUCGUAGUUGGAUUUCUGGGAGGGUGCCGCCGUCCGGCGUGUCCGUGUGCAGUGGCGCCCUUCCAUCCUUCUGUUAGCGUCUCUUGGCAUUCAUUUGCUGGUGGCGGGCUCAGAUAUUUUACCUUGAGAAAAUUAGAGUGUUUCAGGCAGGCUAGGCCGGAAUACAUUAGCAUGGAAUAAUGGAAUAGGACUACGGUCUCUUUGUUGGUUUGAGGGACUGCAGUAAUGAUUAAUAGGGAUAGUUGGGGGCAUUAGUAUUUAAAUGUCAGAGGUGGAAUUCUCAGAUUUGUUAAAGACUAACUUAUGCGAAANCANNNGCCAAGGAUGUUUUCAUNAA